CGUAUGCAGGGAUCUUCUCUAUCCUUAUCCCCUUCAUCCUAUACGUAUGAGAGAGAGAGGGAAAGGAAGAGAAAAGGAAAAAAAGAUAAGGAUUGAGAGCUUGGGAAGGAAAAUUAAAAGGGAAUUGAGUAGAGAAAUUAAUGAAUUUAUAGAGCAUGAAGCUCCAGCACGUGGGAGCUUGGGUGGCUGUGAUAAAAAAAAAAGAACCUGGUGGAGCAUCGAAUCAAGGUCCUAGCGCAAGCGGUGUGGCCGAGGAUCGUGGCAAAGGCCCAGCAUCUUAGCUAGUGGACUCUCGAGUAUAGAUAUAUAUCCAUUUUGGUUUCAUGAUGUACCUAUUUGAUAGAAAGAAAACAUGUAAAUGAUGUAUAAAUGAGCAUGCAAAUGAUGUAAAUAACUGAAGUUAUAGUUAUCUGCUUGAUUGGUUUUAGUUUAAA